CAUUAUAUUGCUACAGUGUUGUGUGCUGCUUUAGUAGCCUGAAGGCAGAGGAGCAUACCUUGUUACUCUCAUUUUUCAGUGCAGCCCUUCAGGAGAAGCCUAAGGGAUAAUCACAGUGGGCUUGUCCAGAAGCUCUGAGGACAGAACUUACGAGUAACCUGUUGACCUAAACUUACUGACAGAAACAACCUUGAAGCCACAAGUGGAAGAAAGAGAGUAUACUUGUUUGAAGAUGCAACAUCUGGAAGGCCAUAAUAUAAGUGUCUUGGGUUUUCCAUUGGUGAUUAAAGCCCCAGGAUCUGCUCUGAGGCUAGCCAUCUUUCAGUGCUCUAAAGAAAUUUGCCAUAGAAUGAAAAUCAUAUCAGGAGCAAUUAGACAAAAGGUCAGCAUAAAUUCCUCCUGUAUCCAGAGCAUUAUCAUCACCCAAGUGUCUCUUGCUUACAGUAUGUUGUGACAAAGUAAAAGCUAUUUCAGCUCUUAUAUUGUGAUGGCUGUUAUUUAUGGAACAUAAAAGGAUACUGAAAUACAAAAGGGUUUGAAAAGACCAGGGUAAGAUCAGAUAA